AGUGAUAUAUUUAGCUUUUAUUAUUAUAUGCAAUUUUAGAUUCUGAACAAAUUGAGGAAUUUAUUGAUUUUACAGUAUUUAUUUGUUUAUUUAUUUGUGAAUAACUUUUCUACCAGACAUUUUGCUCUGAUUUUCAUGUUAAUCACCUUUUCUGAUAGGAAAUUUUCCUGGGGUGCUACUCUGGAGAAUUCAUUUUCGAUUUUUCUGUGAGUAAUAAUAAUAAUUGUUUGUCAUUAGCAACAAUUAAUUACUGAAUAUAGAUAUAUAUUAAAUUUCCCUUCUACCUAACUAACUUCUCACCUACAACAGUUGCUAUACAAUAGUGCAAAUUAUUGUCAGUUUGUUUAUCAAAAUUAGUUUAUAUCUCAUACCAAAUGUAAAAAUGUUAUUAUAUAAAAAAAUAGUUGUCACUGUGGUUCUAAGGUGUCUUCAGAGUACAUUUUGUAAGUUUUUAAAAAAAAAAAUAUUUUGUUCUAAUAUUGUAUUAUGGUCAAGUUAUUGAGUCAACAUUUUCAAAAACUAAUUUAUUCUUAUCACACAAUUUGAAUUUCGUAAUUAAGUUUUUUGGGCCAGUCUAAUACCAUAUAUUAUAUGUAUUAGCUU